AUUGAACGCUGGCGGCAGGCCUAACACAUGCAAGUCGAACGAGUGGCGGACGGGUGAGUAAUGUCUGGGAAACUGCCUGAUGGAGGGGGAUAACUACUGGAAACGGUAGCUAAUACCGAAUACAAUCGGAUGUGCCCAUAUGGGAUUAGCUAGUAGGUGGGGUAAAGGCUCCCCGAGGCGACGAUCCCUAGCUGGUCUGAGAGGAUGACCAGCCACACUGGAACGGAUACACGUUCCAGACUCCUACGGGAGGCAGCAGUGGGGAAUAUUGCACAAUGGGCGCAAGCCGGAUGCAGACAUGCCGCGUGUAUGAAGAAGGCCUUCGGGUUGUAAAGUACUUUCAGCGGGGAGGCGUUACCCGCAGAAGAAGCACCGGCUAACUCCGUGCCAGCAGCCGCGGUAAUAC
rnacentral:rRNA from 1 species